AUUGAACGCUGGCGGCAGGCUUAACACAUGCAAGUCGAGCGGGGAAAUGUAGCUUGCUACAUUACCUAGCGGCGGACGGGUGAGUAAUGCUUAGGAAUCUGCCUAUUAGUGGGGGACAACAUCUCGAAAGGGAUGCUAAUACCGCAUACGUCCUACGGGAGAAAGCAGGGGACCUUCGGGCCUUGCGCUAAUAGAUGAGCCUAAGUCGGAUUAGCUAGUUGGUGGGGUAAAGGCCUACCAAGGCGACGAUCUGUAGCGGGUCUGAGAGGAUGAUCCGCCACACUGGGACUGAGACACGGCCCAGACUCCUACGGGAGGCAGCAGUGGGGAAUAUUGGACAAUGGGGGGAACCCUGAUCCAGCCAUGCCGCGUGUGUGAAGAAGGCCUUUUGGUUGUAAAGCACUUUAAGCGAGGAGGAGGCUACCGAGAUUAAUACUCUUGGAUAGUGGACGUUACUCGCAGAAUAAGCACCGGCUAACUCU
rnacentral:rRNA from 1 species